GAAAGAAAGAGAAGAUGUGAUAAUAGAGAGCAAAUUAGCAGGUAUAUUACAUCUUGGACACAACUAUGAAGUCUGAAACCUGAAGUAGUCUGAAAGAUAUAUACAGCUCAUCAUACUCUUUAAACAGGUAAUUGUGUUCCAAGGAAAAGAGAUAUCUAAAGCCAAGUACAGAUGGUGGAGUUCACAUGGAUAAAGACACACAAGACCAAUAGUCAUGUGUUUCUGGUACUGUUUGUUUAUAACCAGUGUAAAAUUCUCUCGUUCUUAUACCAGCAUUGAUGUGGCAUCCAGCACUUUUCUGUUAAAAAAGAAGAAAAGAAGAAAAGACAUCUUUCUUCUCAAUAGGGCUGAGCACCUUGUGAGGAGCAGAUGGGAAAGACACACAUAUACAGGGGAACAGAAAAAUAAAUGAGAAUGAAGACUCAUGGCGAGACUCGGUGUAAAGCAUUGCUAGGGCUUCCAUUUGGUAUAUUUUCAUUAAAGAGUUAAAUGGAUUUGCCACCAAGAGAGAUUCUGCAGAACCACUCUACUAGACAUGUGCUUAUGAGAAAAGAGAUGGACAAUUGAUAUUUGCUGCAUUUGACCUUAUCUUUCCGUAUUUUUAAAUCAUUGCUUAUCUGUAGUUCAAAGGAAAAUAAAAAUUAAUUCUUUUCUGUCCCCUGACUUCCCAGAUAUUUUCACUUGAUUGUCCUUGAAUGGUCUGUAUUAUUUAAAUUGGAAAUUAUGCCAACUUUUGUGUAUGGAAGUCUUUUUUAAAAUAUUAAAUAUC